rnacentral:rRNA from 1 species
CGCGGCCUAUCAGCUUGUUGGUGGGGUGAUGGCCUACCAAGGCGACGACGGGUAGCCGGCCUGAGAGGGUGUCCGGCCACACUGGGACUGAGAUACGGCCCAGACUCCUACGGGAGGCAGCAGUGGGGAAUGUUGCACAAUGGGCGCAAGCCUGAUGCAGCGACGCCGCGUGGGGGAUGACGGCCUUCGGGUUGUAAAUCUCUUUCACCAUCGGCGAAGCCGGGAGCUUUUGUUUCUGGUGACGGUAGGUGGAGAAGAAGCACCGGCCAACUACGUGCCAGCAGCCGCGGUAAUACGUAGGGUGCGAGCGUUGUCCGGAAUUACUGGGCGUAAAGAGCUCGUAGGUGGUUUGUCGCGUUGUCCGUGAAAUUCCCUGGCUUAACUGGGGGCGUGCGGGCGAUACGGGCGGACUGGAGUACUGCAGGGGAGACUGGAAUUCCUGGUGUAGCGGUGGAAUGCGCAGAUAUCAGGAGGAACACCGGUGGCGAAGGCGGGUCUCUGGGCAGUAACUGACGCUGAGGAGCGAAAGCGUGGGGAGCGAACAGGAUUAGAUACCCUGGUAGUCCACGCCGUAAACGGUGGGUACCAGGUGUGGGUUUCCUUCCUUGGGAUCCGUGCCGUAGCUAACGCAUUAAGUACCCCGC